ACCCUCCGGUUCCCUUUCCCAUCAGAUCUGAACCCUGGUCUUGGUGGUCGUAAAAGGAGGAAUAGUAGUACUGAAGCUGUGCUCAUGGUGUCUGCUUAUAUAGCAUGUGGGCUAGUUUCAAACAAGG
ensembl:snoRNA small nucleolar RNA, H/ACA box 61